GUCUUCUCUCCUUCCAUACAGUUCUGGAAAAAUGGUCAAGGGCAAUAAAUCUAUAUUUGACUAACUGGGAUAAGAGCACAUUCCCCAGCAUGGGUACAUUGCGAUUCUUCGAUACAAUUCUUCCAUUCUAUUGUCAUGUGACCAGCAACUGGCUGCAAUGUGAGGAUCUGGAGCUCAAGCAGGCCAUCAUCAAAGCCCUUGGUCCCAUGAUGAGCCUCUUGCUACACAAAGAGGAGCAUCACGACCAGAUAUUUGAACUGAUCUCAUGGCUCCUUGAGCAAUAUAAGGAGGACAUUGAUGUUUUUCACGUCACCAAGAGUCUGAGCCAGCUCUUGGAGGUCUCUUUUGAAUAUAAGAUCCCUCUACCUAAAGAGAAGUUUCAAGCCAUCUGCAGUGCUCUGCACAACCAGGUGAGGGGUGGUUUUGCUUGGAUCCCUUGAGCUUAGGCCCAGCAGAGCUGAAGCAUAUU
rnacentral:lncRNA from 1 species